rnacentral:rRNA from 1 species
GUCCUAGCCGUAAACGAUGAGUGCUAGGUGGUGGUAGUUUCAACACUCUCACCGCCGCAGCCAACGCAUUAAGCACUCCGCCUGGGGAGUACGGCCGCAAGGUUGAAACUCAAAGGAAUUGACGGGGGCCCCGCACAAGCGGUGGAGCAUGUGGUUCAAUUCGAAGCAACGCGAAGAACCUUACCUGGGCUUGACAUGCAGGUGACAGCCGUGGAAACACGGUCUCCCUUCGGGGCACCUGCACAGAUGCUGCAUGGCUGUCGU